rnacentral:rRNA from 1 species
CGUCGAGCUACUACGGUAGUGAAGUCAUUGAUGCCAUGCUUCCAGGAAAAGCCUCUAAGCUUCAGAUUGUAAGGAAUCGUACCCCAAACCGACACAGGUGGUCGGGUAGAGAAUACCAAGGCGCUUGAGAGAACUCGGGUGAAGGAACUAGGCAAAAUGGUACCGUAACUUCGGGAGAAGGUACGCUCUUGAUGGUGAAGUCCCUUGCGGAUGGAGCUGACGAGAGUCGCAGAUACCAGGUGGCUGCAACUGUUUAUUAAAAACACAGCACUGUGCAAAAUCGUAAGAUGACGUAUACGGUGUGACGCCUGCCCGGUGCCGGAAGGUUAAUUGAUGGGGUUAGCGUAAGCGAAGCUCUUGAUCGAAGCCCCGGUAAACGGCGGCCGUAACUAUAACGGUCCUAAGGUAGCGAAAUUCCUUGUCGGGUAAGUUCCGACCUGCACGAAUGGCGUAAUGAUGGCCACGCUGUCUCCACCCGAGACUCAGUGAAAUUGAAAUCGCUGUGAAGAUGCAGUGUACCCGCGGCUAGACGGAAAGACCCCGUGAACCUUUACUACAGCUUGGCACUGAACAUUGAACCUACAUGUGUAGGAUAGGUGGGAGGCUUUGAAGACGUGACGCCAGUUGCGUUGGAGCCGUCCUUGAAAUACCACCCUUGUAUGUUUGAUGUUCUAACGUUGGCCCCUAAUCGGGGUUGCGGACAGUGCCUGGUGGGUAGUUUGACUGGGGCGGUCUCCUCCCAAAGAGUAACGGAGGAGCACGAAGGUGGGCUAAUCACGGUUGGACAUCGUGAGGUUAGUGCAAUGGCAUAAGCCCGCUUAACUGCGAGAAUGACGGUUCGAGCAGGUGCGAAAGCAGGUCAUAGUGAUCCGGUGGUUCUGAAUGGAAGGGCCAUCGCUCAACGGAUAAAAGGUACUCCGGGGAUAACAGGCUGAUACCGCCCAAGAGUUCAUAUCGACGGCGGUGUUUGGCACCUCGAUGUCGGCUCAUCACAUCCUGGGGCUGAAGUCGGUCCCAAGGGUAUGGCUGUUCGCCAUUUAAAGUGGUACGCGAGCUGGGUUUAGAACGUCGUGAGACAGUUCGGUCCCUAUCUGCCGUGGGCGUUGGAAGAUUGAAGGGGGCUGCUCCUAGUACGAGAGGACCGGAGUGGACGAACCUCUGGUGUUCGGGUUGUGUCGCCAGACGCAUUGCCCGGUAGCUAAGUUCGGAAUCGAUAACCGCUGAAAGCAUCUAAGCGGGAAGCGAGCCCUGAGAUGAGUCUUCCCUGAUACUUUAAG